rnacentral:rRNA from 1 species
CCUACGGGUGGCAGCAGUGAGGAAUAUUGGUCAAUGGACGGAAGUCUGAACCAGCCAUGCCGCGUGCAGGAUGACGGCUCUAUGAGUUGUAAACUGCUUUUGUACGGGAAUAAUAGUUUUCACGUGUUGGGAUUUGAAUGUAUCGUAAGAAUAAGGAUCGGCUAACUCCGUGCCAGCAGCCGCGGUAAUACGGAGGAUUCGAGCGUUAUCCGGAUUUAUUGGGUUUAAAGGGAGCGUAGGCGGUCGGGUAAGUCAGAUGUCAAAUGUCGGGGCUUAACCCCGUGCCUGCAUCUGAGACUGUUCGUCUAGAGAGCGGAUGCAGCAGGCGGAAUUAGUAGUGUAGCGGUGAAAUGCUUAGAUAUUACUCAGAACACCGAUUGCGCAGGCAGCUUGCUAAUCCGCAUCUGACGCUGAUGCACGAAAGCGUGGGUAGCGAACAGGAUUAGAUACCCGUGUAGUC